UACGUAGGGAGCUAGCGUUGUCCGGAAUCAUUGGGCGUAAAGCGCGCGUAGGCGGCCCGGUAAGUCCGCUGUGAAAGUCAAAGGCUCAACCUUUGAAUGUCAGCGGAUACUGCCGGGCUAGAGUCCGGAAGAGGCGAGUGGAACUCCUGGUGUAGCGGUGGAAUGCGCAGAUAUCAGGAGGAACACCGGUGGCGAAGGCGGAUCUCUGGGCCUUACCUGACGCUCAGGUGCGAAAGCUAGGGGAGCGAACAGG
rnacentral:rRNA from 1 species